rnacentral:rRNA from 1 species
UACGUAGGGGGCAAGCGUUGUCCGGAUUCAUUGGGCGUAAAGCGCGUGUAGGCGGCCAGGUAGGUCCGGUGUGAAAACUCGAGGCUCAACCUCGAGAGGUCAUCGGAAACCAUCUGGCUAGAGUCCGGAAGAGAAGAGUGGAAUUCCCGGUGUAGCGGUGAAAUGCGCAGAUAUCAGGAGGAACACCGGUGGCGAAGGCGGUU